rnacentral:rRNA from 1 species
UUAAGCGACUAAGCGUACACGGUGGAUGCCCUGGCAGUCAGAGGCGAUGAAGGACGUGCUAAUCUGCGAAAAGCGUCGGUAAGGUGAUAUGAACCGUUAUAACCGGCGAUGUCCGAAUGGGGAAACCCAGUGCAAUUCGUUGCACUAUCGUUAACUGAAUACAUAGGUUAACGAGGCGAACCGGGGGAACUGAAACAUCUAAGUACCCCGAGGAAAAGAAAUCAACCGAGAUUCCCCCAGUAGCGGCGAGCGAACGGGGAGCAGCCCAGAGUCUGAAUCAGCUUGUGUGUUAGUGGAACGGUCUGGAAAGUCCGACGGUACAGGGUGAUAGUCCCGUACACCAAAAUGCACAGGCUGUGAACUCGAAGAGUAGGGCGGGACACGUGGUAUCCUGUCUGAAUAUGGGGGGACCAUCCUCCAAGGCUAAAUACUCCUGACUGACCGAUAGUGAACCAGUACCGUGAGGGAAAGGCGAAAAGAACCCCGGCGAGGGGAGUGAAAAAGAACCUGAAACCGUGUACGUACAAGCAGUGGGAGCACCUUCGGGUGUGACUGCGUACCUUUUGUAUAAUGGGUCAGCGACUUAUAUUCUGUAGCAAGGUUAACCGUAUAGGGGAGCCGCAGGGAAACCGAGUCUUAACUGGGCGUUAAGUUGCAGGGUAUAGACCCGAAACCCGGUGAUCUAGCCAUGGGCAGGUUGAAGGUUGGGUAACACUAACUGGAGGACCGAACCGACUAAUGUUGAAAAAUUAGCGGAUGACUUGUGGCUGGGGGUGAAAGGCCAAUCAAACCGGGAGAUAGCUGGUUCUCCCCGAAAGCUAUUUAGGUAGCGCCUCGUGAACUCAUCUUCGGGGGUAGAGCACUGUUUCGGCUAGGGGGUCAUCCCGACUUACCAACCCGAUGCAAACUACGAAUACCGAAGAAUGUUAUCACGGGAGACACACGGCGGGUGCUAACGUCCGUCGUGAAGAGGGAAACAACCCAGACCGCCAGCUAAGGUCCCAAAGUCAUGGUUAAGUGGGAAACGAUGUGGGAAGGCACAGACAGCCAGGAUGUUGGCUUAGAAGCAGCCAUCAUUUAAAGAAAGCGUAAUAGCUCACUGGUCGAGUCGGCCUGCGCGGAAGAUGUAACGGGGCUAAACCAUGCACCGAAGCUGCGGCAGCGACACUAUGUGUUGUUGGGUAGGGGAGCGUUCUGUAAGCCUGCGAAGGUGUGCUGUGAGGCAUGCUGGAGGUAUCAGAAGUGCGAAUGCUGACAUAAGUAACGAUAAAGCGGGUGAAAAGCCCGCUCGCCGGAAGACCAAGGGUUCCUGUCCAACGUUAAUCGGGGCAGGGUGAGUCGACCCCUAAGGCGAGGCCGAAAGGCGUAGUCGAUGGGAAACAGGUUAAUAUUCCUGUACUUGGUGUUACUGCGAAGGGGGGACGGAGAAGGCUAUGUUAGCCGGGCGACGGUUGUCCCGGUUUAAGCAUGUAGGCUGAUUGUCCAGGCAAAUCCGGAUAAUCAAGGCUGAGGUGUGAUGACGAGGCACUACGGUGCUGAAGUAACAAAUGCCCUGCUUCCAGGAAAAGCCUCUAAGCAUCAGGUAACAUCAAAUCGUACCCCAAACCGACACAGGUGGUCAGGUAGAGAAUACCAAGGCGCUUGAGAGAACUCGGGUGAAGGAACUAGGCAAAAUGGUGCCGUAACUUCGGGAGAAGGCACGCUGGUGUGUAGGUGAAGUCCCUGCGGAUGGAGCUGAGACCAGUCGAAGAUACCAGCUGGCUGCAACUGUUUAUUAAAAACACAGCACUGUGCAAACACGAAAGUGGACGUAUACGGUGUGACGCCUGCCCGGUGCCGGAAGGUUAAUUGAUGGGGUUAUCCGUAAGGAGAAGCUCUUGAUCGAAGCCCCGGUAAACGGCGGCCGUAACUAUAACGGUCCUAAGGUAGCGAAAUUCCUUGUCGGGUAAGUUCCGACCUGCACGAAUGGCGUAAUGAUGGCCAGGCUGUCUCCACCCGAGACUCAGUGAAAUUGAACUCGCUGUGAAGAUGCAGUGUACCCGCGGCAAGACGGAAAGACCCCGUGAACCUUUACUAUAGCUUGACACUGAACAUUGAGCCUUGAUGUGUAGGAUAGGUGGGAGGCUUUGAAGCGUGGACGCCAGUCUGCGUGGAGCCAACCUUGAAAUACCACCCUUUAAUGUUUGAUGUUCUAACGUUGGCCCCUGACCGGGGUUGCGGACAGUGUCUGGUGGGUAGU